GACGAACGCUGGCGGCGUGCUUAACACAUGCAAGUCGAACGAGAAUCUACUGAAAGCGUUUUCGGACAAUGGAAGUAGAGGAAAGUGGCGGACGGGUGAGUAACGCGUGAGGAACCUGCCUUGAAGAGGGGGACAACAGUUGGAAACGACUGCUAAUACCGCAUGAAGCAUAGGGGUCGCAUGAUUCUUAUGCCAAAGAUUUAUCGCUUCAAGAUGGCCUCGCGUCUGAUUAGCUGGUUGGCGGGGUAACGGCCCACCAAGGCGACGAUCAGUAGCCGGACUGAGAGGUUGAACGGCCACAUUGGGACUGAGAUACGGCCCAGACUCCUACGGGAGGCAGCAGUGGGGAAUAUUGGGCAAUGGGCGCAAGCCUGACCCAGCAACGCCGCGUGAAGGAAGAAGGCUUUCGGGUUGUAAACUUCUUUUAAGAGGGAAGAGCAGAAGACGGUACCUCUAGAAUAAGCCACGGCUAACUACGUG
rnacentral:rRNA from 1 species